rnacentral:rRNA from 1 species
GCCCAAGAGAUCGGGAUAACACCUGGAAACAGAUGCUAAUACCGGAUAACAACAGAUGAUGCCUAUCAACUGUUUAAAAGAUGGUUCUGCUAUCACUCUUGGAUGGACCUGCGGUGCAUUAGCUAGUUGGUAGGGUAACGGCCUACCAAGGCGAUGAUGCAUAGCCGAGUUGAGAGACUGAUCGGCCACAUUGGGACUGAGACACGGCCCAAACUCCUACGGGAGGCAGCAGNG